GCUGGGCAUGAUGGCUCAUGUCUGUAAUCCCAGCACUUUGGGAGGCCGAGGCAGGCGGAUCACCUGAGGUCAGGAGUUCAAGAUCAGCCUGGCCAAUAUGGUGAAACCCUGUCUCUA
rnacentral:SRP_RNA from 1 species